ACUCCUACGGGAGGCAGCAGUGGGGAAUAUUGCACAAUGGGGGAAGCCCUGAUGCAGCCAUGCCGCGUGUGUGAAGAAGGCCUUCGGGUUGUAAAGCACUUUCAGUAGGGAGGAAGGUAGUGUAGUUAACACCUGCACUAUUUGACGUUACCUACAGAAGAAGCACCGGCUAACUCCGUGCCAGCAGCCGCGGUAAUACGGAGGGUGCGAGCGUUAAUCGGAAUUACUGGGCGUAAAGCGCAUGCAGGCGGCCUGUUAAGUCAGAUGUGAAAGCCCGGGGCUUAACCUCGGAAUUGCAUUUGAAACUGGCAGGCUAGAGUCUUGUAGAGGGGGGUAGAAUUUCAGGUGUAGCGGUGAAAUGCGUAGAGAUCUGAAGGAAUACCAGUGGCGAAGGCGGCCCCCUGGACAAAGACUGACGCUCAGAUGCGAAAGCGUGGGGAGCAAACAGGAUUAGAUACCCUGGUAGGAUAGCG
rnacentral:rRNA from 1 species